rnacentral:lncRNA from 1 species
GCACUUUUUGUUUUAUUUUUUUGAAAAAAAUAUCGCACUUUGUCAGUGUUCACAAGUCACUGUGACAACAACCUAGAGUUAUUAUUGUAUUGGACACUAAACAAACCAUCAAGUCCAUUUGAGUUUAUUGGGCUUUUUCAAUUGGGCCGAUAGUGAGUUUUAUCUUGGGCCUGGCAAAUUGAACUUCCAUUUAGAUUCGGGCAAUUGUUUCCUGCACUCCAUCAAUUUCUUCCUGCAUACCCUCAGUUUUUGGAAUUCCAAAAUUUAUCCUUGCUAGUUUUAUUUGAAACUGGCCUUCUUCAUGGAGACUGGUUUGUGGGGGGCUGCUGUGACGUGGUUUUAGUAGAUUUGUUGGGUCGUUGUUUUGGCUGUUUCACUCUGCACCUUCAAGCAACUUCAAUCAUUUCAUCCUACACAUCCAAGUCCCGGUUUCUGUGUAUAAAUAAAUCCAACACAUAAACAAUAUUUAGUACUUCACCAGAAUGAUAAAUUAGAAGCUGGUUUUCUUAAAAAAAUAAUUCAGCACUUAACAUCUUGACUGAAAUAAAUAAAUACGAAAAAUAAACCGAAAAAUAAAAAUAAAAAGAAAGACACAGUCAGUUGUUGCGUGAUGUGUAAUGGUUGAAGCUGGAAAAGAAAUUUAAAACUAAGGAUUCAGUAUAAUUGGGUUGUAUAAAGCCGAAGAAAGUUGUGUUUAUGUGAUAAACCUACAUGUGAAUCGUCCAAUGAAGCAGGAAGAAAGAACUCCAAUAAAAGGUCAAAAGAAAAAAAAAAAAAGAAUCCCUAUUAAGAACGCAUGGUAUCCCCAAC